GGAUUGUAGCACAGUGGUAGAGUGCUUGCCUAGCAUGUGUGAGGCACUGGGUUCAAUCCUCAGCACCA
rnacentral:tRNA from 1 species